UCAAAGAUUGAUUGAAAGGUGGAUUUCUGGGAUUUCUGUGUGUAUAGUACAGACAAACACUAGAGUUGAAGCUUCAGAAUUCCUCUAUGCCGAUUUGUAAAUGGAUCAGGAGGUUUCUGUUAAGGCUCAUCAGGGAGCCGCCAUUUCUACUAGCGACACUGUUGAUGUGUGUUACCACUGCCCCUUUCAUCAUACUGGGCUUCUUAAUAGAAGCUCCCAUUUGGAGUUAUCUGUAUGAGAGCCUUUAUUUCGUUUUGGAGGCAUUACCAGAGACAUUUGAUUAUUUAGCUUUGGAGGUGUUACCAGGGACAGUUGAUUAUUUUUGGGAGGUAUUUUUUAUAUUACUCAAUCCUUCUGCAAUUGUCAUCACGGUAAUGGCGCUAGGCUUUGUCUGCACUGUGGCUAUAACUGGUGUGGACCGUCCACUGGCCAUUCUAAAACAGAGUUUUUUUGGAGUUCAGUCAAAGUUCGACUCAUUUGCGUGGGAUGUAGACUUUGCCUUGUGGCAAGAGAAGUGCACAGUUAUUGGUGAAAGCUGUGCCAAAACAAUGAGGAGAAAGUAUGACUCUCUAGAGAAAAGGGAAAAGCUUAAGAAGGGACCUUACGACGAACAGAAGGAGUUGGCCAAGCGCUUCUAUGAUGGUAGAAUGAAAUACUUUGGGUAUCAAAACUACCUAAAUUUCUUACUGAAGAAUGGGGAAGAGCUGGCAAAACAUCUCAGGGAGUCGGUGUCAGAGCAGUACCCUGCCGGUGACCCACUGCUCAUAGAGGAAAUAGCUCUGGCCCGAAUGAUACUGAAACAGGAGACCAGAAAGCUGGACGAGCAGCUGAGGGGCGGAACCUGGGGCUGAAAUGCACUCUUCUACUUCCCCCCUCUGAAUCACAUGACCGCUUGUGCACUCUUAAAUAGUAUUGUAUGUAUGAGUGCUCUAAUACAUAAUCUAUUAGAUGUGC